GCCACCCUAGCUCAGUGGUAGAGCAACUGUUUUGUAAACAGUAGGUCAUCGGUUCGAAUCCGAUGGGUGGCUCCA
rnacentral:tRNA from 1 species